rnacentral:rRNA from 1 species
GACGAACGCUGGCGGCGUGCUUAACACAUGCAAGUCGAACGGUAAGGCCCUUCGGGGUACACGAGUGGCGAACGGGUGAGUAACACGUGGGUGAUCUGCCCUGCACUUCGGGAUAAGACUGGGAAACUGGGUCUAAUACCGGAUAGGACUCCUGGCUUCAUGGUUGGGGGUGGAAAGCUUUUGCGGUGUGGGAUGGGCCCGCGGCCUAUCAGCUUGUUGGUGGGGUGAUGGCCUACCAAGGCGACGACGGGUAGCCGGCCUGAGAGGGUGACCGGCCACACUGGGACUGAGAUACGGCCCAGACUCCUACGGGAGGCAGCAGUGGGGAAUAUUGCACAAUGGGCGCAAGCCUGAUGCAGCGACGCCGCGUGAGGGAUGACGGCCUUCGGGUUGUAAACCUCUUUCAGCAUCGACGAAGCGAAAGUGACGGUAGGUGCAGAAGAAGGACCGGCCAACUACGUGCCAGCAGCCGCAGUAA